AAGUGGAAGUGAAGGUGGAGAAAAGCCUGCAUGUAGAAAUCUUUUCAUUUUUUUGGAUCAAUGGUGAGAGUUGUUAAAAAAAAAUAAAGACCCUUUAAGUAACCAUUGACAGUCUUUAUUUAGUGGGUAUUACGGCCAUAUUUAGCCUGUGAAUUCAGAAGCCUUUAAGACUGGGAGGAGUCCCAUUAGGGAGCCGGAAGUAGCAGUGAAGACAUUCCCUUUUGAGUGAUAGUAUCCCUACCAGCGUCCUGAGGAUAAAUUAAUAACGAAAUGCGGACAGCCAGGCUAGAUCCCUAAGUCAUCACGAGGUGAAACUAGGGUUUGAGCUCUGUGCCAGCGCCUACACGGCCAGAGAACAGUUUACCUAGCCUAUUAUUUUCCAGCAGUAAGAAAAAGAAACCAUCGUGAGAAAGAUCGCAUCCAAGGACAGAGGUGCUAAAUGGAAGAGUCAGCAAGGAAGGUCAAUCAUGAUUGUGAAUACCUCCGUCCCUGUCGCUGUCCCCGAAGACACCAGAGGCUGGCUGUGAGCUCAUCAGUCCUCCCUUGGGACCUGGGAAGAGGGGGGCGGGUGGAAAAAGAGACAGAGACAGAGACAGACACAGACACAGAGAAGAGGCUGGCCAGGAACACGGAGAGAGACCCUAUGCUUAUUAAAGAAGUCCAUCCCAUCUUCUGUUGGAACAAUGAAGUUCUUCAUUCUAAGGAACCUACAAGGCUGCCACCCACAGACUCUUCCCUGUGUUCCUGAGGAAAAUAAUGUUUCUACAUGUUUGGACUAGCAUGACCACUGAAUUAUAGAAAAGCAUGUCUAACUACAUUCCUACUGGUCCCACCUCACCCUGGACCUAGUAAAUAAAUUGGCUAACUAUA